rnacentral:rRNA from 1 species
GUGGGGAAUCUUAGACAAUGGGGGAAACCCUGAUCUAGCCAUGCCGCGUGAGCGAUGAAGGCCUUAGGGUUGUAAAGCUCUUUCAGCUGGGAAGAUAAUGACUGUACCAGCAGAAGAAGCCCCGGCUAAUUUCGUGCCAGCAGCCGCGGUAAUACGAAAGGGGCAAGCGUUGUUCGGAAUCACUGGGCGUAAAGCGUACGUAGGCGGCGAUAUAAGUCAGAAGUGAAAUCCCAGGGCUCAACCUUGGAAUUGCUUUUGAAACUGAAUUGCUAGAGUCCCGGAGAGGUUGGCGGAAUUCCGAGUGUAGAGGUAAAAUUCGCAGAUAUUCGGAGGAACACCAGUGGCGUAGGCGGCCAACUGGACGGGAACUGACGCUGAGGUACGAAAGCGUGGGGAGCAAACAGGAUUAGAUACCCGAGUAGUCC